CCUACGGGAGGCAGCAGUGAGGAAUAUUGGUCAAUGGACGAGAGUCUGAACCAGCCAAGUAGCGUGAAGGAUGACUGCCCUACGGGUUGUAAACUUCUUUUAUAAAGGAAUAAAGUGAGGCACGUGUGCCUCUUUGUAUGUACUUUAUGAAUAAGCAUCGGCUAACUCCGUGCCAGCAGCCGCGGUAAUACGGAGGAUCCGAGCGUUAUCCGGAUUUAUUGGGUUUAAAGGGUGCGUAGAUGGGUUGUUAAGUCAGUUGUGAAAGUUUGCGGCUCAACCGUAAAAUUGCAAUUGAUACUGGCGGUCUUGAGUACAGUUGAGGUAGGCGGAAUGCGUGGUGUAGCGGUGAAAUGCUUAGAUAUCACGAAGAACUCCGAUUGCGAAGGCAGCUUACUAAACUGCCACUGACAUUGAUGCUCGAAAGUGUGGGUAUCAAACAGGAUUAGAUACCCGAGUAGUC
rnacentral:rRNA from 1 species